CCGGUGAGCCUCAGACGCUACAGAACAACAGCCACCUCUAUAUGUGCCUUAUUCCUACAUGUUCAUCCUAGGCACUGUCAGUGUGUUUGCUGCUGCUGUAAGAAAUUCCUGAGAUGGAGACAUUCAUAGCGAAGAUGUAUUCAUUUUGUCUCACAUAGUUGAAGGCUGGGCAGUCUAAGAGCAUGGCCCCACCAUGGCUCCAUGUUCCUCUGGCAGCUUCCCAGAAAAGCACCACGCAUCUGUUCCCAAAACAUCCGUUCAUAACCGCUCUUCGUUUUGUUCCUUUCCUUUGAUUAUAAAAAUAGUUUAAAUAUAAAAAAAUUAGUAAUAGCCAUCUGCACGUCUUUCUUUGAGUUGUCUGUGAAAUUUUAUGCCCUGCCCAUGCUUUUUUUCUAUUGAUCCAUUUGUUAUUUUCUUAUUGAUUUGCAAAAUGCUCUUGACAUAUUAAGCAACACUGGCCCCAGCCACAUGGGUUGCAGAUGUUUUUGCUCAGAUCGGUUGUUGUCUUUUGCAUUUAUUUACAGUACUCUUUGACGUUCAGAAAUUUUCAUUUUGUAAAUAAAAAAAAAGCCUCAAAUAAAUUGAGUCAUUACU
rnacentral:lncRNA from 1 species